GAUGAACGCUGGCGGCGUGCCUAAUACAUGCAAGUCGAGCGAACAGACGAGGAGCUUGCUCCUCUGACGUUAGCGGCGGACGGGUGAGUAACACGUGGAUAACCUACCUAUAAGACUGGGAUAACUUCGGGAAACCGGAGCUAAUACCGGAUAAUAUAUUGAACCGCAUGGUUCAAUAGUGAAAGACGGUUUUGCUGUCACUGAUAGAUGGAUCCGCGCCGCAUUAGCUAGUUGGUAAGGUAACGGCCUACCAAGGCGACGAUGCGUAGCCGACCUGAGAGGGUGAUCGGCCACACUGGAACUGAGACACGGUCCAGACUCCUACGGGAGGCAGCAGUAGGGAAUCUUCCGCAAUGGGCGAAAGCCUGACGGAGCAACGCCGCGUGAGUGAUGAAGGUCUUCGGAUCGUAAAACUCUGUUAUUAGGGAAGAACAAAUGUGUAAGUAACUAUGCACGUCUUGACGGUACCUAAUCAGAAAGCCACGGCUAACUACGUG
rnacentral:rRNA from 1 species